UUGUCGCGAAAAUUUAUCAAAAACAAAAUAAUGCUAAAUUCAAGUCUUUGAGGCUAUUUUUUAUUUACUAGCGAUAAACAAAUUUAAAUCUCAAGUUCAAUUUUCAAAUGAAUCUGCAAAGACGUCAAACUAGUCAAACCGCCAUUUAUUGUUGCGAGGCCACGACAAGCCAAGUUAAGCCAAGCACGUGCAAAAAAUCGUGUGACACAAGCGUAGCAAUCCGAAGGCAACGUUCAGCGUAGCGGUGCUCUUGUAUCGUGUUUUGUGAAAUUUAAGAACUCGACCUUCGCUCAGCAAGUGGUUGCUGACCGAGUGUUGCUCGCAGCUUCGAAAUGAAGUCGUUUUUAAAUCGCCUGUACAAGAAGAUCAAGUGGUAUUACUUCAUGUACGAUCUCCACACGUCCCUCUACAUGUUGGAGUCUUGGGAGAAAAGGGUAUUCAAUAUCGGGCUUGUAGCCGUGGUUGCCAUGUCGAGCUACACGACCUACGUAUUUUUGCCACGGUACACGCAAAAUGUGCUGCGUUACUUCGGUGUGGUCGAGUAGGCGACUGCAUUAGGAGCGACGGCGUCACCAUCAAGUAUCCGUGUCGACCCAUCGAUUUCACAAGUCGCCAGGAGGGCUAGAAAAUGCGGCGGAUCGCUGCUACUCCUGGCUGUCUAACGACGCUUCUUCAAGAAGAGAUUGUACAGCUCACGCUUGGUACUGCCCUAGAAAUGAAGUAGAGCGUUUGAGAGAGUCAACUGCUCUGUCGUAAUGGACAGUUUUAGAAUAGGUUUCGUAGCGUUUUCGUAACUUAGCGUGCCUACCCCAAGACGUUAGCAUAUGACGCGUGCGCAGUGGCGACGAAACGCUAAGGCAAAGCUUUACGUAACCCAUUCUAAAACUGUCUAUAAUCCAGCAUCGCCACCACAUUUGGAAUUUUCACCUUUGGUUAUAGAGAAACUGCUGAAGCAAUGCACGGGAUUUCUUCAUGUUCCUAUGUUUCGUUCUUGUGUAACUUUUUUUUUUCCUCAUUCCGUUACGGAGCAAAUGAGCAAGGGGCCACAAAUUUCUGUGCACAAAUCUCGUCACUUUUCGCUUGUGGGACGAUUUGAUCAGACUUGUGUGAAGUCUUAGUUUGAGCACUGGUUUAUUUAGAUGUGCUGGGAACCAUCUUUAUUGAUCAACUUCUAUGUCGGAUAGACUGCGCCGAUUUUGCUGUGACAGUCAUACUAUCCGUUGCCUGUUAAAUGGUCGACACACUGCCAGUGUGGCUGACACUUUGCACGAAUGUGCCACACCUUUCGUUGUUAGGCAUGUUGGUAAAACGAAAAUAGUGUGACCUUUCCCAUGUUUACCUUCCAAGUGUCGCGUUUAUUGCAAUAAGUAUCUGUGUACCUUGGUUGGGCUUAUAGUUUUGUAGAGUUGAUUUUGUAGCAGAGAAAACUGAAAUUGAUGAGUGCGAUUAAACAUCACAAAUGGCAAGUAAGUUGGAUUAGCCCGUUAACACAUGUUAAGUGUACUUUUGUAAUGGUUCACGAAUGCGUUUUCAUAGAAGCGACAGAAUAAAAUUUGUUUUUAUGCCUUUGUAA